UGUCUAAUUGGUAAACUGCACAUUGUAUCGCUUCGCACCGCAGAUGUUUUGGCAAUUUGGUUUCCGCUAAUAGCGUCCUCGUUUUGUCGCAUAAUGUGCGGUUCAUCCGUUCUGAUAUGCCAUUAA